GUGAGGAAGUGGAACUUGUUACCCAAGGACUUCCCUUUUAGAAUGUUUGCUUUCCUACCAGGAAGAGUGGCUUGGCUCUCUGCUGAGGCUCUCAGAGGUUCUCCCAGCCUUGGGAACGCUGAUUAAAACCAGUCAGCACAACGUCCCCCUGUGGAGACUGAGGUCAGAGUCUGCUCCCUUAAAUUCUACUGGGGCCUUUUUCAGGCCUCCAUCCCUGGGAUUUGCCGGUAGAAGAAAGGGAACCAGCGUUGACUGAGCUCCUACUAUGUGCACUUCCUGGGCCUGGCACUGGGAUCACAGGAUGAAUGAAUAAGGCAUAUUUCCUGCCCUGUGGAGGUGUCCAUAGGGGAAGUCGGAAUUAAGCCACCUCCAGAAUUCUGAGGUCAAGGGAACGUCAACAGAACUGUGAACAAAAUGCCCAAAGCCAUGAAAAUCAACAGAGACUUGAAGGGGAGGAAUGGGGUAGGAGCUUGUGCUGAGGAUGAGAAGGGAGAAUUCGCCUGGUGGAAAACUGAUAGCUAGGGGCUGUUUUCAAAGUAUUUUCACAAACGUUUAUUCUCUUGACUCUCACAAUAAAUGAAGCCAGCCAGAAAGUAUUCCCCCUAUUUCAGUGAUAAGGAAAUUGAGGCUCAGAAGGGUGGAGUGGCCCAGGGCAGGGCGAAGCUCGGGUGGAAGCAUUGGUCUUGUGCUUCCACACUCAUUGCACUUUCUUCCAGGCCAGGCUGAGGUCAGGAUGGUAGAGGAGGUGGUGGAGGUGAUGAGGUACCAGAGCAACCUCGAAGAAAGGUGAGAAGCAGGGGACCACCAAAGGCAAACCUGGAACACCUGGUGACUCCGGCUAACUCUCCAUGUGGUGUCCAAGAGGACUUUUCUGAUACUGCUACCACUGCUAAUAGUAAUAAAAGUUACUAUUUAAUGUGUUUACUAUGUGUUGGGUGCGCAAAUAUUGUGGAAAGAGUGAACAUAUGUGCAGAAUGCUUAAUAAACGUGAUCUCUUUUUAUCUUCAAAA